rnacentral:ncRNA from 1 species
UUACAGUUUGAUUCUAACUGUCUUAUUAGCUUUAGCAGAUCAAUAUACAUGUAAAUCAUAAAUUGCCCGCAUAAAUAUCUUUAAAAUUACUAAAAGUAUAUUUUUAUUCUGUAUAAAGACCUCUAAAUACAGAAAGCGCCACAGUAAAUAACACUACUAAUAUAUGAAAAUAAGAAGUGAAUUCUGUUUAUAGAAUUGGCUCAAUUCGUGCCAGCAGCUGCGGUUAUACGAUAAAUUCAAGUUAAUAUAUUAUAAGUUAUAAAUAUGAUAAAAUAAAAUAUUUUAAAGGUAUAAUUUAUAUAAUAUGAGAACCACACUUAACAAAAAUUUUUAAAAGUCAUAAUAAAAAACACGGAUUAGAUACCCGUCUAUUUAUGAUAUAUAAUAUAUAACUGGAUAAUACGAAUUAAAAUUUAAAACUCAAAGAUUUUGGCGGUGUUUUAACAAACCAGGGGAACCUGUCUCAUAACUCGAUAGUCCACGAAUAUUUUACCUUUUCUUGAAAUAUACAGCCUGUAUACUGCCGUCGUAAGUAAACCUUUAAAAGAUAAGUUUACAGAAAUGAUAUACACCAUUUACGUCAGGUCAUAGUGCAGCCAAUGUUAAGGCGAAGAUGGGUUACAACCUAUACAAAGAUACGUAAAAAUAUAUUAAUUUAAUAUUUAAAAGGAGGACUUGGGUGUAAUUAUAUACAUAAAAAUAUAAUGAAGAUGAAUCUAAAACAUGCACAUAUCGCCCGUCACUCCCACCUAAAGGUGAGAUAAGUCGUAACAAAGUAGGUGUAACGGAAGUUGUACCUGU